AGUCUUUGCAAGAAAAGAGCGCUGAGUAUACGACGGAGACGAGUCGAUUAAAUGACGAAAUUAAAUCGUUGAGGACCCAAAGCGCUGAGAAAGAAGAAAGCAGCAAACAAGAGCUUUCAAAUUUAAUGGGAAUUCUAAAGAACGUAAAAGAAAAGCUUGAAGAAACAAAGACAAGGUAUGAAGAAAAAGAAGCUGAAGUUAAGAAUCAACAAGAACAAAUCAUCCAGUUGAGUAAUGAUCUUAGUGAAUCACAAGAAGCGAUGCUAGAACUGGGCGAGGUAAGGACUUUAGGGAUCGUUUAUUC